rnacentral:rRNA from 1 species
ACUACCGAUUGAAUGGUUUAGUGAGGCUUCCUGACUGGCGCCGAUACUCUGGCAACAGAGCGUGGGAUGCCGGAAAGUUGGUCAAACUUGAUCAUUUAGAGGAAGUAAAAGUCGUAACAAGGUUUCCGUAGGUGAACCUGCGGAAGGAUCAUUACCGAUACGAUAAAAGCAACUGCUGUGUGAACCGUACUGGACCUUAUCGAGGGGUCGGCCCGGGGGGCCGUUAAAUGGUCAUCGGACGCGACUCUAGCUCUCGCGGCCGCUUGGCCUACCCCGCUUUUUCUUUUCCAACAACGUACGUGUCUUGUUGCCUGAUGGAUGUGGAGACGGAGUCUCUUUGAGGAGGCCUCCGCCUCCACAGGUGGAAAGAAAAAAUGCAAGAGACAACUUUUGACGGUGGAUCUCUUGGCUCACGCAUCGAUGAAGAACGCAGCCAGCUGCGAUAAGUAGUGUGAAUUGCAGAAUUCAGUGAAUCAUCGAAUCUUUGAACGCAAAUGGCGCUCUUGGGUUCUCCCAGGAGCAUGUCUGUCUGAGUGUCGGAUUGUCAUCCAUCGCCGGCCUGCGCUUGCCUGCGCUCGCCGACGGCGUUGAGGCGUCACGGCGCGCGGCCUGAAAACUUGAUCGGGUCGGCCGUGUCCCUUGAAAGGCAGAGAGACUCGCUGUGGUUCGGGGCCUGUCCCCGCAGCGCACCAGCGGAGGCUAAAAGUGUCAGCACUCCUUCGCGCGCUGCCGGGGUCCCCGCCGCGCCCGAGUCGCGGGAGGCGAAAGACAGAAAGCAUUUUCUUCUUCUUGACUUGACCUCAGAUCAGGCAAGGCUACCCGCUGAAUUUAAGCAUAUUAAUAAGCGGAGGAAAAGAAACUAACAAGGAUUCCCUCAGUAACGGCGAGUGAAGCGGGAAGAGCUCAAAUUUGAAAUCUCCGAUGCCUGCAUCGGCGAGUUGUAGUUGCGAGAAGCACUUUCUAGGUGGAUCGGCAGUGCCUAAGUUGCUUGGAACAGCAGGUCGCAGAGGGUGACAACCCCGUCUGUGGCGCUGCCGGCCGCUGACGAUGUGCUUUCGAA